rnacentral:misc_RNA from 1 species
UUUCCGUAGGUGAACCUGCGGAAGGAUCAUUAAUAAAUUUCCAAUGAUAUUUAAGUUGGAAAACAAUAAUCAUCCUACCCUUUGUGAAUUUGUUUGUUUGAAUAAUUUUUUUUUGAAAAAUUAUUUCUGUCUUUCCCUGAAUGUGAAAGUUUUGUAAAAGAAACUUUUACUUCAGGGGAUAGUAAUAAUUUUUUAAAAAGACCUUUUUUUAAAUUAAACUUUUUGUAUUCAUUUGUCUAAAAUUAUUUUUAUAAUUUAAAAACAACUUUUGACAAUGGAUCUCUUGGUUCUCGCAACGAUGAAGAACGCAGCAAAAUGCGAUAAGUAGUGUGAAUUGCAGAAUACGUGAAUCACGAAUCUUCGAACGCAUAUUGCACUUUUUUAGUUUACUAAAAAAGUAUGUCUGUUUGAGUAUCAGUAAAAUAUUCUCAUAAAAACUUUUUGUUUUAUGGUUAUGAGUGUUUUACAACGAUACAAGUUGUUUCACUUUAAAUUCUUUGUCUUUUAAAAAAUCAUUAAAAACUGAUUUUUUUUAAAAAUUGGAUAAAAUUUUCCCGUAAAAAGGAAUAACCUAAACAAUUUUAAAUUAAAUUGGUUUGAUUUCUUUUAAGACUUUAAAGGAAAAAAAGUAAAAAUUAACUUGAUCUCAAAUCAGAUAAGAGUACCGCUGAACUUAAGCAUAUCAAUAAGCGGAGGAAAAGAAACUAACAAGGAUUCCUUAGUAACGGCGAGUGAAGCGGGAAGAGCUCAAAUUUGAAAUCUUCAAGGUUUUACCUUGACGAAUUGUAGUUUAAAGAAGUGUUUUCUGUUGGAGUUUUGGUAAAAGUUCUUUGGAAUAGGACAUCAUAGAGGGUGAGAAUCCCGUAUUUGACCAUUAUUUCCACUUUGUGAUACACUUUCAAAGAGUCGGAUUGUUUGGGAAUGCAGUCCAAAAAUGGGUGGUAAAUUUCAUCUAAAGCUAAAUACUGGCGAGAGACCGAUAGCGAACAAGUACCGUGAGGGAAAGAUGAAAAGAACUUUGAAAAGAGAGUUAAACAGUACGUGAAAUUGUCAAAAGGGAAGCGUUUGACACCAGUGUUGUUUUCUCGAAAAUCAAUUAAAAAGAUUGGAUUUUGUGUUGUAUUGACUUUAUCAGCUUUCUGCACUUUUUUCUUGUCUUUUUUAAUGCACUUUUCGUUUAACAAGUCAACAUCAAUUUCUUUUGUUGUAAAAGAGUCAUUGGAAGGUGGCUUUCUUUUCGGAGAAAGUGUUUAUAGCCUUGUACCUCUGCAAUCGGAGAGAUUGAGGUCUGCAGCGUAGAUCCUUCGGGUUAGAUACAUUCGUGCUAAGUUAUAGCCUUUCAUAGACACUUGUUGACUAUGAUCAGUCUUGUAGCUUACUCGCUUAUGCUAUUUUACCUACGCUUAGGAUGUUG